rnacentral:rRNA from 1 species
CUCAACCGGGGAACUGCGUGGUGAACUGCCGGUCUUGAGGCAGGUAGGGGCAGACGGAACUGUCGGUGGAGCGGUGAAAUGCGUAGAUAUCGACAGGAACGCCGAUAGCGAAGGCAGUCUGCUGGGCCUGUCCUGACGCUGAGGCACGAAAGCGUGGGGAGCGAACAGGAUUAGAUACCCUGGUAGUCCACGCCGUAAACGUUGUGCACUAGAUCGGAGGGGUUUUGACGCCUUUCCGGUCGAAGUCAAAGCGAUAAGUGCACCGCCUGGGGAGUACGGUCGCAAGGCUAAAACUCAAAGGAAUUGACGGGGGCUCACACAAGCGGUGGAGCAUGUUGCUUAAUUCGAGGCAACGCGAAGAACCUUACCUGGGUUUGACAUGCACGGAUUAGCUCUUGGAAACAGGAGUGACGCCUUUUGGGUGGAACG